UCCAAAAGGUACACCUGUUUGAGUGUCAUG
rnacentral:rRNA from 1 species